rnacentral:lncRNA from 1 species
UCGUGCUUGACAGAUGCAUAUGUCAGGACCAGUGGUUGCCAUGGUGAUGGAGACAAUGCCACCAGUGAGGGAUGGUUUAGUCAAUCGUUUUCCCCCCACCCUUUCAGAAAUUACAGGCCCUUUUCUGCAAAGGGCUUGGGCAGGUCCUUGGAAAGGUAUAAGGGUCAAAUGACAAAAACAAUGAGAUGAAAGGACACAUCCCCAUCCUAUGAUAUUGAUACCUGGUUGAGUGGCUCAUUCCAUGCCAUCCUAAAGAGGACUCAUCAUUUCAGACUGUCCUCAUAUGGUCUUCCCACUCUGGCCGCCUUGUUAACUGAAAUUGGACUGUCUCCAGCCUCCCGAUAUUUUCCUAAGCUGCAUGGGAACUUCAGUCCAAUUCAACUUUCACUAGGAAGAUUUCUCUGGCCAGUUAGUGCCAAUUGCAUUGCCCCAGUGGCUGAGGAUCCAACUAGAGACACAGCACUGAACCUGCUCUCAGAAAACAUACGUCCAGACAGGAGAAAGACGUGUAAACAAAUAACUGUGACAGAAGGCAAAGUGGGAUAAACCCAAGAGAGGAGGUCAAGGCAGAGCUCUAUGAGAAUUGUGAAGGGGAAGAAUUAUUGGAUGGAGAAACAGAAGGAAUUAACACUUAACUUAAUAAAGGCUUAUUUCUUUCCUUCCUACC